AUCCAGCUAAAGAGUUUCAAAUAGGACGAAACGCGCGUUCUGGAU
rfam:Schistosoma haematobium scaffold289_46, whole genome shotgun sequence.